ensembl:lncRNA
GGGGAGGGUCAUCUUUUUGCAUGUUCAGGGGGAAAGGGGACUCUUGGAGCAAAUCCUGCCCUGGUCUGCUGAUGCCUCGGGGCACUCGUUGGACUCGAGGGUUGCUGGCAGAUGCACACUAAGGACCUGGAUGCUGCUGAACACUGCAGAACUGAAGUUCUUCAGAGGUAUAUUAUUGCAUUGUGCCAGAAGAAUUUGUGACAGCAGUUAAAGGCACAGGUGUUUUCACCCCCAUUUAUACGGAGGACAAACUUGCAUUUCUGCAGACUGGACAGACUUGGUAUUCCUGUAGCAUCCUUUAAAACCCAAGGCACUGUUUGCAGCAUGGCCAAAACCAGGAGGCUGAGGGCUGGGUGCACCAGAGGGUCAGACCGUCUCAGGGAGAGAGGGAUGUGUCUCCUCUCUCCCCACCAUCUGUGGAAGGGAAAGCAUCUCUUGGUCAUCCCCAGCUGCCAAAGUGGACACCUAAAAGGGAUUUCUGAGAAGGGUGGGAUAGGGUAGAUAAGGAAGAAUGCUUCCCCUCUCCUCUGUUUUGUUGUUGUUGGUUUUUUGUUUUAUUUUAUUUUAUUUUAUUUUAUUUUAUUUUUUGCAGAGGGAGCCUGGAAGGCUCCAAGUUUUGUCUGAUUAUUCAUGUCAAAAAUGUUCAACAAACACAGUAGCAGAAGGAGAAUGGGUCUGUGGGUCUGUGCCUAUAUUAACAGCUAAGCACAUCACAAUUUCCUGUUCCCCCCCCUCCCCCCCCUUUUUUUUAAAGCAUUUCCAUGGAAAGGCUCACAGGAAUGUCAUACAGAGGAAGAAGUCCAAGCUCCUAAAGGACCAAUAAGAGCUCCAGCAGGCACAACUGGUUCUUCCAAGCACCAGGAGAUGAGGGACUGGGACUGACCUUGUUGGAAAUGAGCCUACUGAUGCCUACAGCUGGAAGCAGUUGCAUGGGACUUUGCAGUAGGUAACAUGGGGAUACAUGUCCCAGAACACAUUGCCCAUGCCAGGGGUGACGAACACUCUCACAGGGGAGCAGGAGACGUGCACUGAGCAAGGUGGGUGAUUUGUUUUCUGGCUCAACCAAAACGUUCACAAUCCUAACCCAGGAGGGGAGGCAAGAGCACUUGGCAAACAAAUUUACACUAAGUGCACUUCCCUGGAAAUGUUUAUACUCUACCGCUGAGAAAUGUGGCGAUAGAGCAGCACGGCGCCGGCGGAGCAGAGGAUGCUGUGUUGAGCCAGCUCCCAGCCAGGGUGGGCUUGGGGGCACAAGGAAAGGUGGCGGUGGUGGUGUCACCAUCCCCACCUAGCAGGGGAUGUUCAUCUCAGGACAGAGAGGUGAGGGACAGCAGUGCACCCCCUAAGGGUUGGAAGUGUGUGGGGAUGGACUGGGGAGAGCUGGGGCGAGCUUCUGGGACAUGAUAACCAUUGGGGCCAUGCAUACUCAAAAGCCUCACCUCUGUGGCCUCCUCACAUAGCCUCCCAGCGGGGCUAUUUGACCUUCAAGGAGUGGUCUGUAGAUGGGGUUGGGAUCUCCAGGUAGUAUCACAGUGCAAAUAGGUAUGGUGUGAUCCUGUGUGAUAGGGAAAGCUUUUUCAUGGUGCUGGUUGCAUUCCAGCAAGGAGGAAAGGUCUGUGGACAGAAAUGCAAGGGCUUUGUAGAUGUCCCAGUGCUCCUGGAGCAGGAGACUUCACAGGGUUCCUACCCUAAGCUAAUUGCUAAUUACUAGGCAAGUAACCCCCACAAAAAUAUACAUAUAGCUUUUAAAAAGAGCACAUAGUGGGCUUACAUAGCACGUGUGUGCACGCAUGUAUUUUUGUGCUGAGGGGGUAGAGAGUUCUUGGCUAAGUAGGUAGAGCCAAAUGGCAGGUGACUCAAAUGCUACCCCUAUUUCUGUCCCCAUUUCAGUGAUGCCACUCGGGGUGACUCACUUGCUGUCUCCACGUCUCCUUCUCUUCAUCAGCUGAGGAUAACUCCUACUGGGAUACACCGAUCCUGACGUGCUUCAGCAUCUGGAAGAUCCUAAGAGGAAUGACACAGAGUGAUGGGAAGCACAGGCACGAUCCUGAACAUCUCCAUACCUGCUGUGGGGCAUAAGCCCAGGAGAGAGCUGGGGAAGGUCUAAAGAGGUGGGUUUUGUGCUGAGCCUUCCAAUUCUAGCAGGUAGAUC